GCUGAAGCCAACCUUGCCAACUUCUCUUCUUUGCUCAUACCACUCGUUGUACUCUUCCCAGCCCCAUGUACCUUGCCCAAACUGUCCUCGUCCUUGCACAAUUUUUCUAAUUUCCUUUCUUUCCCCCUCAUUUCUGAAACAGUUGGACCACCACUGAUCCAUGCUGUCACCUCUCAUGACACCUUGAGAGAAGUCCAGCAUACCAGCCGAAUGUUUAAGAAUACGGGUAAGACGUAGGAGGUUGUGUGAGCGAGCGCGAAGGUUUGAGACUGUAAAGUGGGUUGAGUCGUUCGUGAUGAUAACUACAAACAGAGACGCACUUCUCUCCUUGUGAUUGCUUGCAAGCUUGAGCUUACCGCCGUUGAAAUCUAUGCCGUAGAAUCCUAGCAUCUGCAUGAAGGUCAACAUAGCUCAAUUUCACCAGAUCAACUUUGACGCAAACCAUC
rnacentral:sRNA from 1 species